AUGCAGAAGUGCACGGAAACAGC
rnacentral:piRNA from 1 species